rnacentral:lncRNA from 1 species
AGGAACUGGAUUUUGGUUUGAGUGCAUCAAAUAUCAUCACUUUGAGUCACAACACGUCAGUGCUGUGAGCAAGAUGCUCAGGGGCAGAUCAGGGAAUUACAGAGUCAUGGAAUCAUGGAAUUACAGAAUCAUGGGAUCAUGGAAUUACAGAGUCAGGGAUCAUGGAAUCACAGAGUCAUGGAAUCAUGGGAUCACGGAAUUACAGAGUCAGGGGUCAUGGGAUCAGGGAAUUACAAAAUCAUGGAAUCAUGGGAUCAGGGAAUUACAGAGUCACAGGGUCAGGGGGUCAUGGGAUUACAGAGUCGGGGGUCAUGGAAUUACAGAGUCAUGGAAUCAUGGGAUCACAGAAUUAGAGAGUCAGGGGUCAUGGAGUCACAGGAUCAUGGAGCCAUGGAAUCACAGAGUCACGGGAUCAUGGAAUCACAGAGUCAUGGAAAUAAUGGAAUCAUGAAAUUACAGAGUCAUGGAAAUCACGGAAUCACAGAGUCAUGGAAUCAUGGGAUCACAGUCACAGAAAUCACGGAAUCACAGAACCACAGAAAUCCCAGAACCACAAGGUUGGAAGAGACCUUUAAGAUCAUUGGGUCCAACCCAUGCCCUAGCACCACCUCAACUAAUCCACCCCGGCCCAAGAGGAUCUCCCAAAUCCAUCCUGACCCAAAAGGAUCAUCCCAAAUCCAUCCUGACCCAACAGGAUCAUCCCAAAUCCAUCCUGACCCAACAGGAUCAUCCCAAAUACAUCCUGACACAACAUGAACAGAACAAUCCCAAAUCCAUCCUGACCCAACAGAACAAUCCCAAAUCCAUCCUGACCCAACAGAACAAUCCCAAAUCCAUCCUGACCCAACAGAACAAUCCCAAAUCCAUCCUGACCCAACAGAACAAUCCCAAAUCCAUCCUGACCCAACAGAACAAUCCCAAAUCCAUCCUGACCCAACAGAACAAUCCCAAAUCCAUCCUGACCCAACAGAACAAUCCCAAAUCCAUCCUGACCCAACAGAACAAUCCCAAAUCCAUCCUGGCCCAACAGGAUCCAUCCUGACCCAACAGGAUCCCCCAAACUCAUCCUGGCUCAACAGGAUCACCCCAAAUCCCUCUCUGCCCGUGCUGUGGGAGGCACUUUCGUCACCCAGGAAUGCACCACGACCUGAUCCACGUGGGAAUCACCACAGACAGGAGCUGCUGGAUUCCUCGUGGAGGCAGCGAGCCCAGAAAUCCUCCACAAGACUCCUCCUCCUCCACCAAAAGUAGUUUUUCCUUGGAAAAGCCUCCCCGGGCCAAGGGAAAGGUUCAACUCCCUGUGAAAUGGCACCAAUGUCCCAGAAGAUGUAAAAAUGCCCUCACCCCUGUGGGGGUGGGCUUUGGUGAACACCUUUCCUGAAAGCCUUCCAAGAAAAAAAUCCAAUUUUAUACUGCCUCCUCACUUUAAUCACCCCCCCAAUCUCGUUUGCAAAUCGAAAAAAGACAACUAUUUUGGGCACCCCCAAGGCAGAGCUCUGAGCCCCUUCCUCAAAAUAAUCCCUGCCAAGUCUCACAGUCCUCCUCCCCCUGCGAGAACAGACUCCACUCCCACCUGGAACCCCCCUCAAAAUCCCACACCACCCCUCAGAAUAAAGUGCCCAAAUCACCUCCCCCCCAAGCUGCCCCCCCCCCCCCCCCCCCCCCCCCCCCCCCC